rnacentral:rRNA from 1 species
GGACCCGCACAAGCGGUGGAUGAUGUGGAUUAAUUCGAAGCAACGCGCAGAACCUUACCAGCCUUUGACAUCCUGGUCGCGGUUAGAGGAGACUCUUACCUUCAGUUCGGCUGGACCAGUGACAGGUGCUGCAUGGCUGUCGUCAGCUCGUGUCGUGAGAUGUUGGGUUAAGUCCCGCAACGAGCGCAACCCUCGUCCUUAGUUGCUACCAUUUAGUUGGGCACUUAAGGAAACUGCCGGUGAUAAGCCGGAGGAAGGUGGGGAUGACGUCAAGUCCUCAUGGCCCUUACAGGCUGGGCUACACACGUGCUACAAUGGCGAUGACAGUGGGCAGCGACCCCGCAAGGGUGGAGCUAA